rnacentral:lncRNA from 1 species
UUGCAAUGCUGCCUUCUACCUUAGUGGCCCUGUCUGCUGCAGACCUCUCCGAUCUUGCUGCUCCUUGAAUUUAUUUUGACUGUCCUAUUCUGGUCCUGCCAGGCACCUUUUUGGAACCAGGCAUCUCAGGAAUGUGGGCACUUCCCUGAAAGCCACAGGUGUCCCAAGGAAGCACUCCAGGGCAGGCAAGUCCUCC